rnacentral:rRNA from 1 species
UACGUAGGGGGCGAGCGUUGUCCGGAUUUAUUGGGCGUAAAGAGCGUGUAGGCGGCCAUGUAGGUCCGUUGUGAAAACUCGAGGCUCAACCUCGAGACGCCGAUGGAAACCAUAUGGCUAGAGUCCGGAAGAGGAGAGUGGAAUUCCUGGUGUAGCGGUGAAAUGCGCAGAUAUCAGGAAGAACACCCGUGGCUAAGGCGGCUCUCUAGUACGGUACUGACGCUGAGACGCGAAAGCGUGGGGAGCGAACAGG